rnacentral:rRNA from 1 species
GGCCUACGGGGGGCAGCAGUGGGGAAUAUUGCACAAUGGGCGAAAGCCUGAUGCAGCAACGCCGCGUGAGCGAUGAAGGCCUUCGGGUCGUAAAGCUCUGUCCUCAAGGAAGAUAAUGACGGUACUUGAGGAGGAAGCCCCGGCUAACUACGUGCCAGCAGCCGCGGUAAUACGUAGGGGGCUAGCGUUAUCCGGAAUUACUGGAUGUAAAGGGGGCGCAGACGGCGAUGCAAGCCAGGAGUGAAAGCCCGGGGCCCAACCCCGGGACUGCUCUUGGAACUGCGUGGCUAGAGUGCAGGAGGGGG